UACGUAGGCAGCAAGCGUUGUUCGGAGUUACUGGGCGUAAAGGGUGCGUAGGCGGCUUUUUAAGUUUGGUGUGAAAUCUCCCGGCUCAACUGGGAGGGUGCGCCGAAUACUGAGAGGCUAGAGUGCGGGAGAGGAAAGUGGAAUUCCUGGUGUAGCGGUGAAAUGCGUAGAUAUCAGGAGGAACACCGGUGGUGUAAACGGCUUUCUGGACCGUAACUGACGCUGAUGCACGAAAGCGUGGGUAGCAAGCAGG
rnacentral:rRNA from 1 species